CCUGGGGCUCCCGGUCCUGUGGUUCCCGAGCCUCAGACGCCCCUCGGUCCUCCUUAGACCGGUCGUUGGUAAAAGUGAGGAGCUGAAAGAACACUACAUCCAAAAAUCAGAAGGGCCAGUUUCUCUGCUGAUGCCUCACAUGGACGAAGACAGGAGGAGUGAACCAUAUGCUUAGAGAGUGGAAGGAGAGGGAGAGAGGGAGGGAGAGAAACAUCCAUGUGAGAGAGACACAUCUACUGAUUGCUUCCUGCGCACACCCCAACCAGGACAGAGAGCGAACCUGCAACCCAGGUGAGUCAGGCAGGACUCCAUCAACUCUGGCGCAUUGGAUGACCUUGAGAAUUUAGUGACUUCCUAUGACAUAGAACAAACCAGGGCCACCACGUGCAGGUGGGCACAGCUUCACUCCAGGAAGGGCAUUCGGCAGGCUUCAAGGGGAAUGAUGACACCGGGAUUGUGCAACAUGGCAGCCCAGCUCUCACACGCCAAGCCCGUUCCCAGGGCAGAGCUUGGCACUGCCAAUCCUCUGCCUGGUACAUCCAUCUGUACGCUCUGUGCUGGCUCCUCCUCGUCAUCCACGGGAGCACCGCUGUGAUUCACAAAGCACUGCUCUGUGCCAGGAGGAACUGACUACCUCAUUUGUAGACCCCAGGUAAAAUGAAAACCAGGACCUCUUAUUCAAAAAGUAGUAAGAAUUUCAAGAUGGUAACAGCAGAGUUAAUCUAAGCACUGGCCCUUCUUAGUGUGGGGUCACCUGUCUGACCACACAGAUACCCCCAGGAACUUGGCCCUGACCUCAGACUCUGCUUAAAUAUCACUUUCCCAACUACCCAGACCAGUGUGUGAAGGCAAGCUAAGGACUCACAUUUCUUUCCAGGUAAAAUUAGGGCAUUUGACAUGACAGAUGAAACAAGGAUUUUUGGUUCCACUAGCACUGUGUUUUUAAGGCUGAACAUCCAGGCAGCAUAACAGGUUUUGUGUUUCCUUUAAAUGAGGUCUUAGAUAGAUUCUCAUUUUUCAAUAAAUUGGCCUGAAGGCAGUGACAGGCCUAGUAAGCUGAGAACUUUGGUAUGCAAAGAUCAAAAAAGACCCAUUACAGUAUUAUCAAUUUGAAAAGAAUACUAUGUUUGGAUUUUUUUAAAAAUAAAAAUAA